GUGCUUGCUUCAGCAGCAUGUAUACUAAAAUUGGGGCGAUACAGAGGAGAUUAGCAUGGCCCCUGCGCAAGGAUGAUGCUCGAAUUCAUGAAGCAUUCAAUAUUUUU
ensembl:snRNA U6 U6 spliceosomal RNA